CACCAGAAGCUGGGAAGUUCAAUAUCAAGUUGUCAGCAUUUGGCAAGAAUCCUCUUGCAGCGUUAUCCCACAGCAGAAGGCAAGAAGCAAGAAGUUUCUCAAAAAGGCUUCCUAGAUGCCAUUCCUUUUGGCUUGACAAACCCCAGGAUCUUCUCUUAUGCACAGUUGAUGCCUUCCUCAAAAACAAGCUUCACUCAUGGACAGUAGUUGAAAGGUUUAAGAAUCUACAGUUUCAAGAUCAAGCACAAGAAUCACAUUAGCAAUGAGAAGCUAAAAACUUACAACAUGGAAAGUGAACAUUACAACAAAAAUUUUAACAACUGAAACCUGGAGAAUAAAAUGCUCCAAUUAUAUUCCUAAGACCAUAGCUUUGGAAGGAAGUGAAAGUCAGGAAGAAAAUGAUGACCAUUUAUGGGGCUGGGAUUGUGGCUCAGUGGUAGAGCCUCCUCUAACACAUGCGAGGCCAUGGAUUCCAUCCACAGCACCACAUAAAAAUAAAUUAAUAAAAUAAAGGUAUUGGUUAAAA